GAGGCUGCCCGCCGCCAGCUACGGCCCCUCGCUGUCGGGGCAGGCGGGCCGGGCCUGGUGGCGCGGUGGAACCCACCGGCGCGGGGCGGAGCGGGGACCUGGCCGUGGAAGGGAGAGGGGUUCAGGCUACGCACCCAGCAGCAGCCCGUCCAUGUCAAAGAUCAGGUAACUCUCCACUGGGCAUCAAGAUCAUUGAAGCACCAGUUGCAGAGGCAGACAUGAAAAGAGCUGAACCAGGCUCGCAAGGUGACAUACUGGCUUGAAGAUGUGUACUGCUGUGCCAUUCUGUGUGAGGGUAGUGGUUGGUUGCAGCUUCACAUAGGGGGAGUCCUCCUGUCUCAUUUGUAGGCGCCUUGACAAAGAGGAUAAACAGAUUAUAAUCCAUUUUGGUUUGAGUAUUAAAAAAGAAUCGAAAGACUUGAAUAAAUCCAGUAGUUUAAAAGCUUUCAUAAUGCUUUACAUAAACAGCUGUUAAACCCACUAUUAGGAACAAAUUACUUGGAAUGAUUAAGAAUUAAAUGUAAAUUCAGGUAUCAGCUGAGAUUCUCAACAGUUGCUAUAGUUAAGCCUAUAAGCCUUCAGAAAAUGAAACCCCUCUGAGUGCUGGAUGUCACCAAACAUGAGCUUUUCACCUCAAGAUUAUGAAUUACAUGAUUUGUAUUGUUUCAGUUCAUGUUUUUGUAGGUACAAAAUGGAAGAUGACCAUAUGUCUUAAAGCAAUUAAAUAGUACCAUGGAACUCCUGAUCUAGGUCAUGUUUUAUUGAUUACAUAAGUUAAAAGGGUGUAUAUGCUCUUUUAAUCAAUCACAUGUGUCUUCUCUCAGCCAGGCAAAUAGGGAUAGGAGAGCCAUGUGUUUUCUAGAUUUUGGUAUUGACAACCAGUUACAGGUGAGAUAGUUACAAAGGCAAGGAAGAUGAUGUGUUAUGCUGCAGGAGAAUGAAGUGAAGAUAUGUGUUACAUGUGUUCAUCUCAGUAAAUUUAGAUGAGGCACUAUAGAAAGGUUCAUUUUUAGAUGUCAAUUGCUGUAUUUAUUGGUGGGAUUGUACAACAGAACAAAGUUUCUGAAGCUGGGAAACGAAGAUUUAAUAUCAUGCUUUAGGGCCAUUAUUGCUUUUGUUAAGGUCACUGAGAACCGUUUACUCUCCUUUAUGGAUUGUGACUUAGCUUGUUGACAUACUUUUUUGGUCUUUUAAUAAAAUAUUGGCUGCAAACAGGCAAACUGUUCAGGUAAUUAGCAGUGUGUCAUUGUAAUGAAAAUCCUGAAGUGCCUAAUGGCUGGGUCCUGCUUAGCCUUAAACUAUCAGGAAGGUUAGAACAGAAGGGAUUGCAUUUCCAGAUAUUAUAUGAAGUAUUGUAUCCUGCUUUAUUUUUCCUGUGAUAUGGAUUUGCUGUAACUUUUUUUUGUUAUGGUAUAACUUUCAUUUAUUUAUCUAACUUCCCAUUCUUACUGGAACUUAAAAUAUUUGUUAUUAACUUGGUUUUAUGUCUUGUCUGCAUGUGGAUUUAAUUGCUUUUUUGUUCAUUUUACUACAGUUUGAUUGUUACAGAUUAAUCAAAAGGUUUUGUAUUUCUGCUGUCAUGUGGAAUGCACAUUCUGUGAACCUUUCUGAGCAAGUCAUCUAUAACUUGGUUUCUGGCAGUAAAGGUGAAACUGAAUGCAGUCACCCUUCCAGUGGUCCCUUUCAGCCUUGGGUUCCGAAGCUCAAACUUUUCAAAGGCUGUGGUAAUUAGAUCUUCAGAUGGAGAAGAGAGAGAAGGAAUUGUGAUUCUCAGGAUCACAAGGUCUCUAAGCCACUGAUCUGUAAUGCUGCUUCAUGUUCAGGUUUUAUAUGCACGUUCCCUUUUUGGGAUGCAACAAGCUGGGGAGUUGAAUCUCCAGAGCUCAGACAUUCUGCCUACUCUGUGGCUGUGUGCCCUUAAAAGUUUGUAUCUAUCCAGAAGAUUUGAGUAGAAAUAAAUGAACUGGCUGACACUCAGCCCAGAAUGGCUGCAUGAUCAGGAAGAACAUGCUGACAGCCUGGGAAGUGCAGGGAGGUAGCUGGAGGCCAGCUAUUGUACAGAACUGUGACCUUUUUUUCUUUGCAGUGAUUCUCAGCUUCUAGAAUUACCUAGGCAGAAAAGCAAUAGUACUGUACUGAUACAUAUAAAAAAUAACAACUCUGAUCAGGAAGAAGAAAUGGUGCGGAGAGGAGAAGGGGCAAUGCCAAGCAGACUUAGCCAGCUUCUUGAGUCCCCAUUGCAGCAGAGUUGUAUUAGACAUCCAGGCUGUUCCUUACUGUGGAAGCUGGGACUUUUCCUUGAUUGCCAGUUAGUGUGCCUCCCAAACAAGUCAUAAUUCAAUUUUUUGAAUUCUCUUGCCCCAGAAGCUACUGCUCUGUUCUCCUUCUCCCAUGUACAGACACACAAAAGUACUGGUAGUAUACCUCAGAACAUGCUCUUGUGUACAGGCAAUGGCAAAUAGGCUUUGUUACCACUACCAAGUAAGGCGCUGAAUAAUUUUUGGGCGAGGAAAUAGUUCCAUCACUAAGCUGUCCACUUACUUUAAGUUCAGUUUAUGUUUACCUAUCUUAAGGAAUUAGGUUCUGUGUAUUGUAACAAAACAGAUAAGGAAACAAUGUAGCUUUUUUUCUUGCUUUAGACUUUCAAUUGAAUUGUUCUUUGUAGAAGACCAAUAGCAGUCUCUUGUUUUCAUAAGACAUUUAUAAAACAAGGAACACCACUCAUAAAUACUAAUACAGUUAGGUGGUUAGAUAUUAGGGAGUCCUAGAAGAAUGCAAUGAAGUUCAAGUGUUGUCAAGCCAAUCAGGCCCUGACUUUUUUCCCUAAGUGAGCUAGCUCCUCUAAUCAGGUAAUCUCAAACAUUUCACCUUGAGUUCUGUAAAGUGAAUGAUUGCUUACACUGACACCAGAGGUUUAAAAGAGUCCUAUAUUUCCAUUUCAUGUACUUAUAGGUAAGACCACAAGAGACAUUCAAGCUCUAGAUGAAUUCUUUGCAAUAGAAUUGUAUAGGCUUAAAAUAUCUGUCCAGAUAUUAUGCUUAAAAUUUUGUGAAUCUUUCAGUGAAUCUUUUGCUUUGCUAGGAUAUCCUGUGUUUUUCCUCUACUCUUUUUUUUUUGUCUUACAAAUUUCAUUUCUUUAAUCUAUUGCUGUAAGUUAUGCUUUCUGAAGCUUUUAGUAUUUUGAUUACUCUUCAGCAUUUUAGGUUUUCUGUAUCCUUAGAGAAGUCCAGCACAUGAGGACAUUUAUUGUAGCUGUGGGGUUUAUAAAUGACAAAUAGAAAGUCAUUUUUUGCCUUCUUAGUCCCAGAUAGAUCACCACCUUUGAAUUAACAUAAGAGCUGAAUUACUGUCUUUGCCAUAGUUUGGUUUUUACUGCUGAUUAGUCAGGUUGUACCCCAUGUUGUGCCAAGGCAAAAGCUCAAAACUUUUGUUGCUGUUUCUCCAAUUUAAAAUGUUCUUUAUGGUUUGCUUCUAUAUGUAGUUUCACUAAUUAAGAAGAGUCAGUGUCAUGCUUCAGUGAAAGAGAUCAGGGACAGUAUCUCUAGCCCAUUAAGAGCUUAUUACCUCUUCAUACAGUUCAAAAUCUCUUUACGCAUUUUUAAGUAUGAAAAACUACUAUCUUGCAAGCCUAAUGAGGCAGAUAUCUGCAAGAAUCUGUGCUGCAGAAUGAAUUGUUGUAUCCUGGUUUUGGAAAUGUUGUAUGUGUCAUUUAGACCAGUGACUGCUGCAAGCAGAAGGGAAUAAGUAUUAUAUUAAUGACUGUGUUUGACAGCCUGGCUUCAUAAUCUGUUUUUCACUGACUUUUCCUUUUUAUGCUAAUAGUUAUGCUCUCAUCUGGAAAAAUUAGAGUAAUACGAUUUUCCAAAAGCUAUUAACAAGACUUUUAAUAUUAAGAUGGCUAUAUAUCGUAAUGUACCAUGCCAAAACUAAGCUUUUGUUGUGGUCUUGAAAUGGGGCAUGGUUAGGGUGUAUUCUGGAGUUGCAGAUCAUGGAGGAAAGCCUACAGGCUUCAGGGGGCAUAGAGCUUCGUUCAGGAUGUGGCAUUCUUGUCAUCAACCAUCAACUAGGUGAACUUUCUGAAGUUGGUGGAAAUAAAGUAAAACCCUGCCUGAUUUCAAUUUUUCAAUAUUUGGGUGAUUGUUGAUUCUUGAAGGACCUGACAAAGUGGGGGGACAUGAAUAUUCAUAUGCUUUUUCUGACUUCAUCACAUCCAGGGAAUAAAAUAAAUGAUCUUGUUGAUCAAAUGAAAAAUAUUUUUCCUACCUGUUCAAGCCCAUCUUUGUUUAAAAAUCAUGUUUUGUUUAUGACUUGCAGUACCUUAGACAAGUAUUAUUUGAUAGUCAGAAACUGUGGUUAUAGCAACUAUAAAACCUGAAUCUUUAUUCUUGCAUGGCAUAGCCAACACAUCAGCUAAACUCCCAUGUGUAAGUCUUAACAAAAGUUAAUCACAACCAUUAAAAAAACCUUUAGACCAAACCUUUAGACAGUGUCAUAGAGUUCUAUGUACAAAAGGUUUUGGGACUUCCUCAGAGCUGUAUAAAGUCCUCUGCAAUCCACAGAUUUCACAAGUUCAUGUAAUAACUUUCUAUCAAGAUACCUACAUGACUACA